rnacentral:rRNA from 1 species
GACGAACGCUGGCGGCGUGCUUAACACAUGCAAGUCGAGCGGUAAGGCCCUUUCGGGGGUACACGAGCGGCGAACGGGUGAGUAACACGUGGGUGACCUGCCCUCAGCUCUGGGAUAAGCCUGGGAAACCGGGUCUGAUACCGGAUAUGACUCCAUGACGCAUGUUGUGGGGUGGAAAGCCUUGUGCGGCUGAGGAUGGGCCCGCGGCCUAUCAGCUAGUUGGUGAGGUAAGGCUCACCAAGGCGACGAUCCUUAGCUGGUUUGAGAGAAUGACCAGCCACACUGGGACUGAGACACGGCCCAGACUCCUACGGGAGGCAGCAGUGGGGAAUCUUGGACAAUGGGCGCAAGCCUGAUCCAGCCAUGCCGCGUGAGUGACGAAGGUCUUCGGAUU